GACGAACGCUGGCGGCGUGCUUAACACAUGCAAGUCGAACGGAAAGGCCCUUCGGGGUACUCGAGUGGCGAACAGGUGAGUAACACGUGGGUGAUCUGCCCUGCACUUUGGGAUAAGCCUGGGAAACUGGGUCUAAUACCGAAUAGGACCACGCGCUUCAUGGUGUGUGGUGGAAAGCUUUUGCGGUGUGGGAUGGGCCCGCGGCCUAUCAGCUUGUUGGUGGGGUAAUGGCCUACCAAGGCGACGACGGGUAGCCGGCCUGAGAGGGUGACCGGCCACACUGGGACUGAGAUACGGCCCAGACUCCUACGGGAGGCAGCAGUGGGGAAUAUUGCACAAUGGGCGCAAGCCUGAUGCAGCGACGCCGCGUGAGGGAUGACGGCCUUCGGGUUGUAAACCUCUUUCAAUAGGGACGAAGCGCAAGUGACGGUACCUAUAGAAGAAGCACCGGCCAACUACGUGCCAGCAGCCGCGGUAAUACGUAGGGUGCGAGCGUUGUCCGGAAUUACUGGGCGUAAAGAGCUCGUAGGUGGUUUGUCGCGUUGUUCGUGAAAACUCACAGCUUAACUGUGGGCGUGCGGGCGAUACGGGCAGACUAGAGUACUGCAGGGGAGACUGGAAUUCCUGGUGUAGCGGUGGAAUGCGCAGAUAUCAGGAGGAACACCGGUGGCGAAGGCGGGUCUCUGGGCAGUAACUGACGCUGAGGAGCGAAAGCGUGGGGAGCGAACAGGAUUAGAUACCCUGGUAGUCCACGCCGUAAACGGUGGGUACUAGGUGUGGGUUCCUUCCUUGGGAUCCGUGCCGUAGCUAACGCAUUAAGUACCCCGCCUGGGGAGUACGGCCGCAAGGCUAAAACUCAAAGGAAUUGACGGGGGCCCGCACAAGCGGCGGAGCAUGUGGAUUAAUUCGAUGCAACGCGAAGAACCUUACCUGGGUUUGACAUGCACAGGACGCCGGCAGAGAUGUCGGUUCCCUUGUGGCCUGUGUGCAGGUGGUGCAUGGCUGUCGUCAGCUCGUGUCGUGAGAUGUUGGGUUAAGUCCCGCAACGAGCGCAACCCUUGUCCUAUGUUGCCAGCGGGUUAUGCCGGGGACUCGUAGGAGACUGCCGGGGUCAACUCGGAGGAAGGUGGGGAUGACGUCAAGUCAUCAUGCCCCUUAUGUCCAGGGCUUCACACAUGCUACAAUGGCCGGUACAAAGGGCUGCGAUGCCGUGAGGUGGAGCGAAUCCUUUCAAAGCCGGUCUCAGUUCGGAUCGGGGUCUGCAACUCGACCCCGUGAAGUCGGAGUCGCUAGUAAUCGCAGAUCAGCAACGCUGCGGUGAAUACGUUCCCGGGCCU
rnacentral:rRNA from 1 species